rnacentral:rRNA from 1 species
AACGUAGGAGACAAACGUUAUCCGGAGUUACUGGGCGUAAAGGGCGUGUAGGUGGUAUCGUAAGUCUGGCGUGAAAUUUCCCGGCUUAACCGAGGCAGGUCGUCGGAUACUGCGAGGCUAGAGGACGGUAGAGGCGUGUGGAAUUCCGGGUGUAGUGGUGAAAUGCGUAGAGAUCCGGAGGAACACCAGUGGCGAAGGCGACACGCUGGGCCGUACCUGACACUGAUGCGCGACAGCAUGGGGAGCAAACAGG